rnacentral:rRNA from 1 species
AUGGUCAUGGAUCUACUCGAGAAGGUGAGAGGACGAAGACAGAGGGGGUGCUCGAGGUGGUCAAGGCGGAGCAGCAGAGGACGGCUCGUCCACGAGCUCAAGUUUAAGGCGGACGGCGGCCUCAACGGGUGGGUGACGACAUCUACACCUGGUUCCACCUUGCUGUGGCAAAAUAGGAGGCCAUUCAUGCAGUCAUGCAGCGGAUGGAGUCCUCGGCAGGGUUCUAUUAAAUGUGAACAUGUUUGCGUCAAGGCUUUGUUGAUGGUUGAAGAAGAAAUCAAGGUCGCCAAAACUCGGGUGCUGCUGAAUUGCUAG